UACGUAGGCAGCGAGCGUUGUUCGGAGUUACUGGGCGUAAAGAGUGCGUAGGCGGUUUUCUAAGUUUGGUGUGAAAUCUUCCGGCUUAACUGGGAGGGUGCGCCGAAAACUGGAAGGCUUGAGUAUGGGAGAGGUAAGCGGAAUUCCUGGUGUAGCGGUGAAAUGCGUAGAUAUCAGGAGGAACACCUGCGGUGUAGACGGCUUACUGGACCAUAACUGACGCUGAGGCACGAAAGCGUGGGUAGCAAACAGG
rnacentral:rRNA from 1 species